rfam:Nipponia nippon contig11441, whole genome shotgun sequence.
CCAAAGGCUCUUUUAAGAGCCACCCAUCUUUUCAAUAAAGGGGCUGU